rnacentral:rRNA from 1 species
AACGAACGCUGGCGGCAUGCCUAACACAUGCAAGUCGAACGAGAUCUUCGGGUCUAGUGGCGCACGGGUGCGUAACGCGUGGGAAUCUGCCCUUUGGUUCGGAAUAACAGUUGGAAACGACUGCUAAUACCGGAUGAUGACGAAAGUCCAAAGAUUUAUCGCCAGAGGAUGAGCCCGCGUAGGAUUAGCUAGUUGGUGUGGUAAAGGCGCACCAGGGCGACGAUCCUUAGCUGGUCUGAGAGGAUGAUCAGCCACACUGGGACUGAGACACGGCCCAGACUCCUACGGGAGGCGGCAGUGGGGAAUAUUGGACAAUGGGCGAAAGCCUGAUCCAGCAAUGCCGCGUGAGUGAUGAAGGCCUUAGGGUUGUAAAGCUCUUUUACCCGGGAUGAUAAUGACAGUACCGGGAGAAUAAGCUCCGGCUAACUCCGUGCCAGCAGCCGCCGUAA